rnacentral:misc_RNA from 1 species
GCCUAGCCCGGAUCGCAGCAUUUGUCUGAGCUCAUUUUUUUUAUUUAAGGGGGCUGCGGCGGCGAAGCCGCCGCAGCCCCCUUAAAUAAAAAAAAUAGCGAGUGCGGAGAGCCGGAAAUAGC